ACGAAUACCGAAGAAUGUUAUCACGGGAGACACACGGCGGGUGCUAACGUCCGUCGUGAAGAGGGAAACAACCCAGACCGCCAGCUAAGGUCCCAAAGUCAUGGUUAAGUGGGAAACGAUGUGGGAAGGCACAGACAGCCAGGAUGUUGGCUUAGAAGCAGCCAUCAUUUAAAGAAAGCGUAAUAGCUCACUGGUCGAGUCGGCCUGCGCGGAAGAUGUAACGGGGCUAAACCAUGCACCGAAGCUGCGGCAGCGACACUAUGUGUUGUUGGGUAGGGGAGCGUUCUGUAAGCCUGCGAAGGUGACCUGUGAGGGUUGCUGGAGGUAUCAGAAGUGCGAAUGCUGACAUAAGUAACGAUAAAGCGGGUGAAAAGCCCGCUCGCCGGAAGACCAAGGGUUCCUGUCCAACGUUAAUCGGGGCAGGGUGAGUCGACCCCUAAGGCGAGGCCGAAAGGCGUAGUCGAUGGGAAACAGGUUAAUAUUCCUGUACUUGGUGUUACUGCGAAGGGGGGACGGAGAAGGCUAUGUUAGCCGGGCGACGGUUGUCCCGGUUUAAGCAUGUAGGCUGGUUAUCCAGGCAAAUCCGGAUAAUCAA
rnacentral:rRNA from 1 species